GGGGCAAGGUCGAGCGGACCGACGGGAGCUUGCUCCCUUAGGUCAGCGGCGGACGGGUGAGUAACACGUGGGUAACCUGCCUGUAAGACUGGGAUAACUCCGGGAAACCGGGGCUAAUACCGGAUGCUUGAUUGAACCGCAUGGUUCAAUCAUAAAAGGUGGCUUUUAGCUACCACUUACAGAUGGACCCGCGGCGCAUUAGCUAGUUGGUGAGGUAACGGCUCACCAAGGCGACGAUGCGUAGCCGACCUGAGAGGGUGAUCGGCCACACUGGGACUGAGACACGGCCCAGACUCCUACGGGAGGCAGCAGUAGGGAAUCUUCCGCAAUGGACGAAAGUCUGACGGAGCAACGCCGCGUGAGUGAUGAAGGUUUUCGGAUCGUAAAACUCUGUUGUUAGGGAAGAACAAGUACCGUUCGAAUAGGGCGGCACCUUGACGGUACCUAACCAGAAAGCCACGGCUAACUACGUGCCAGCAGCCGCGGUAAUACGUAGGUGGCAAGCGUUGUCCGGAAUUAUUGGGCGUAAAGCGCGCGCAGGCGGUUUCUUAAGUCUGAUGUGAAAGCCCCCGGCUCAACCGGGGAGGGUCAUUGGAAACUGGGGAACUUGAGUGCAGAAGAGGAGAGUGGAAUUCCACGUGUAGCGGUGAAAUGCGUAGAGAUGUGGAGGAACACCAGUGGCGAAGGCGACUCUCUGGUCUGUAACUGACGCUGAGGCGCGAAAGCGUGGGGAGCGAACAGGAUUAGAUACCCUGGUAGUCCACGCCGUAAACGAUGAGUGCUAAGUGUUAGAGGGUUUCCGCCCUUUAGUGCUGCAGCAAACGCAUUAAGCACUCCGCCUGGGGAGUACGGUCGCAAGACUGAAACUCAAGGAAUUGACGGGGGCCCGCACAAGCGGUGGAGCAUGUGGUUUAAUUCGAAGCAACGCGAAGAACCUUACCAGGUCUUGACAUCCUCU
rnacentral:rRNA from 1 species